UUGGGAGGGUGGAGAUGUGCUGGGCUGGAGGGUGGGAGUGGUGACCGUGUGGCUUCUUCUUUCUGCUCAGGACCCCUUUGUGAUGGGGAGACCACAGCUCUGUGAUGCAGGGCUGGGCCCCACCCCUGCUCACUGUAGCCUGCGGACUACAGUUCAAUUCAGAUGAUGGAGAAUCUUCUCUGGCUUCUUAAAGGUAUUGGCUCCACAUGGCUGAGCACUAGCUUCACCAGCUGGGCAAUGGAUAUGACCCUUGUGCUUGAGUGUAUGUUGGCGCUUUUCAUCCUAUUGAUCUCUUUCCUUAAGACUAAUCCAUCUUUCCACUAACUGGGAAAAAGGAAAACAUCAGAAAGCACCACGUGGAGAAAAAGAUGUGGGAAACAAACAGCAAGAGAAAGAAGAGCUGUCUUCUGAAAGCUUGCAGAGAGUGCCGAAAGGAACUGGAGG